rnacentral:rRNA from 1 species
AAUCAUUGGGCGUAAAGCGCCUGUAGGUGGUUUAGUAAGUCUGUUGUUAAAGCCUAGGGCUUAACCCUAGAAAAGCAAUGGAAACUACUAGACUAGAGUAUGGUAGGGGUAGAGGGAAUUUCUAGUGUAGCGGUGAAAUGCGUAGAUAUUAGAAAGAACACCGGUGGCGAAAGCGCUCUACUGGACCAUUACUGACACUCAGAGGCGAAAGCUAGGGUAGCAAAAGGGAUUAGAUACCCCUGUAGUCCUAGCCGUAAACGAUGGAUACUAGAUGUUGGGUUUAUUUCACAGUGUCGUAGCUAACGCGUUAAGUAUCCCGCCUGGGGAGUACGCUCGCAAGGGUGAAACUCAAAGGAAUUGACGGGGGCCCGCACAAGCGGUGGAGCAUGUGGUUUAAUUCGAUGCAACGCGAAGAACCUUACCAGGGCUUGACAUACUACAAAUCUUUUUGAGAAAAAAGAGUGCCUUCGGGAAUGUAGAUACAGGUGGUGCAUGGCUGUCGUCAGCUCGUGUCGUGAGAUGUUGGGUUAAGUCCCGCAACGAGCGCAACCCUUAUUUUUAGUUACCAACUUGUUGGGUUCUCUAGAAAGACUGCCGGUGACAAGCCGGAGGAAGGUGAGGAUGACGUCAAGUCAGCAUGCCCCUUAUGUCCUGGGCUACACACGUGCUACAAUGGUUAAGACAAAGAGUCGCGAGUUCGUGAGAACCAGCUAAUCUCGUAAACUUAGCCUAAGUUCAGAUUGUAGGCUGCAACU